rnacentral:rRNA from 1 species
CGAUUGACGCUGGCGGCAGGCCUAACACAUGCAAGUCGAGCGGUAGCACAGAGAGCUUGCUCUCGGGUGACGAGCGGCGGACGGGUGAGUAAUGUCUGGGAAACUGCCUGAUGGAGGGGGAUAACUACUGGAAACGGUAGCUAAUACCGCAUAAUGUCGCAAGACCAAAGUGGGGGACCUUCGGGCCUCAUGCCAUCAGAUGUGCCCAGAUGGGAUUAGCUAGUAGGUGGGGUAACGGCUCACCUAGGCGACGAUCCCUAGCUGGUCUGAGAGGAUGACCAGCCACACUGGAACUGAGACACGGUCCAGACUCCUACGGGAGGCAGCAGUGGGGAAUAUUGCACAAUGGGCGCAAGCCUGAUGCAGCCAUGCCGCGUGUGUGAAGAAGGCCUUCGGGUUGUAAAGCACUUUCAGCGGGGAGGAAGGCGGUGAGGUUAAUAACCUUGUCGAUUGACGUUACCCGCAGAAGAAGCACCGGCUAACUCCGUGCCAGCAGCCGCGGUAAUACGGAGGGUGCAAGCGUUAAUCGGAAUUACUGGGCGUAAAGCGCACGCAGGCGGUCUGUCAAGUCGGAUGUGAAAUCCCCGGGCUCAACCUGGGAACUGCAUUCGAAACUGGCAGGCUAGAGUCUUGUAGAGGGGGGAGAAUUCCAGGUGUAGCGGUGAAAUGCGUAGAGAUCUGGAGGAAUACCGGUGGCGAAGGCGGCCCCCUGGACAAAGACUGACGCUCAGGUGCGAAAGCGUGGGGAGCAAACAGGAUUAGAUCCCUGGUAGUCCACGCCGUAAACGAUGUCGAUUUGGAGGUUGUGCCCUUGAGGCGUGGCUUCCGGAGCUAACGCGUUAAAUCGACCGCCUGGGGAGUACGGCCGCAAGGUUAAAACUCAAAUGAAUUGACGGGGGCCCGCACAAGCGGUGGAGCAUGUGGUUUAAUUCGAUGCAACGCGAAGAACCUUACCUGGUCUUGACAUCCACAGAACUUUCCAGAGAUGGAUUGGUGCCUUCGGGAACUGUGAGACAGGUGCUGCAUGGCUGUCGUCAGCUCGUGUUGUGAAAUGUUGGGUUAAGUCCCGCAACGAGCGCAACCCUUAUCCUUUGUUGCCAGCGGUUAGGCCGGGAACUCAAAGGAGACUGCCAGUGAUAAACUGGAGGAAGGUGGGGAUGACGUCAAGUCAUCAUGGCCCUUACGACCAGGGCUACACACGUGCUACAAUGGCAUAUACAAAGAGAAGCGACCUCGCGAGAGCAAGCGGACCUCAUAAAGUAUGUCGUAGUCCGGAUUGGAGUCUGCAACUCGACUCCAUGAAGUCGGAAUCGCUAGUAAUCGUAGAUCAGAAUGCUACGGUGAAUACGUUCCCGGGCCUUGUACACACCGCCCGUCACACCAUGGGAGUGGGUUGCAAAAGAAGUAGGUAGCUUAACCUUCGGGAGGGCGCUUACCACUUUGUGAUUCAUGACUGGGGGAAG